AGUGAACGCUGGCGGUAGGCCUAACACAUGCAAGUCGAACGGCAGCACAGUAAGAGCUUUCUCUUACGGGUGGCGAGUGGCGGACGGGUGAGGAAUACAUCGGAAUCUACUUUUUCGGGGGGGAUAACGUAGGGACACUUACGCUAAUACCUCAUACGACCUACGGGUGAAAGCAGGGGAUCUUCGGACCUUUCGCGAUUGAAUGAGCCGAUGUCGGAUUAGCUAGUUGGGGGGGUAAAGGCCCACCUAAGCGACGAUCCGUUGCCUGGCCGAGGAGAAUGAUCGGCAAACCUGGACUUGAGAACCGGCCAAGACUCCAACGGGAGGAAGCAGUGGGGAAUAUUGGAAAAUGGGCGAAAGCCUGAUCCAGCCAGACGGGGUGGGUGAAGAAGGCCUUCGGGUUGUAAAGCCCUUUUGUUGGGAAAGAAAAGCAGCAGGUUAAUACCGCGCUGUUCUGACGGUACCAAAAGAAUAAGCACCGGCUAACUUCGU
rnacentral:rRNA from 1 species